GGAAGAGCUCAUGGGAAGUGCAUGCUCAUGGAAUGCUAUGGUGCUUGAGAAUUAUGUGUCCAUGUGUGGAAAGAGACUGCAACUUAUCCCUGAACAAAGAUAUUUGAAGUCCUGUAUGGAUGGAUAGAUAGAACCUAAUCACAUUGGACACAGAUUUGAAACAGAGGAUGGAGAAAAAAGAAAGAAAAGGAAAGUCAGAAAAACCCCACCCUGUUCCCAUUGACUAAAGGAGGAGGUAUCUAGUUCAAAUUGGGGUUAUAAUGCUAUGACUCAACCAACCAGUAAAAUAUUAAAUAGUUAAAUGAUCAA